rnacentral:snRNA from 1 species
GUCCCAGUUCCGAACCCGUCGGC